rnacentral:rRNA from 1 species
AUUGAACGCUGGCGGAAUGCUUUACACAUGCAAGUCGAGCGGCAGCACGGGGGCAACCCUGGUGGCGAGUGGCGAACGGGUGAGUAAUACAUCGGAACGUGCCCAGUCGUGGGGGAUAACGUAGCGAAAGUUACGCUAAUACCGCAUACGAUCUACGGAAGAAAGCGGGGGACCGUAAGGCCUCGCGCGAUUGGAGCGGCCGAUGUCAGGUUAGGUAGUUGGUGAGGUAAAGGCUCACCAAGUCGCAGAUCUGUGGCUGGUCUGGGAGGACGACCAGCCACACUGGGACGGAGACACGGCCCAGACUCCUGCGGGAGGCAGCCGUGGGGAAUAUUGGACAAUGGGCGCAAGCCUGAUCCAGCCAUUCCGCGUGCAGGACGAAGGCCUUCGGGUUGUAAACUGCUUUUGUACGGAACGAAAAGGCUCUGGUUAAUACCUGGGGCUCAUGACGGUACCGUAAGAAUAAGCACCGGCUAACUACGUGCCAGCAGCCGCAGUAA